rnacentral:rRNA from 1 species
GUGAUUCAUAAUAACUUAACGAAUCGCAUGGCCUUGUGCCCGGCGAUGGUUCAUUCAAAUUUCUGCCCUAUCAACUUUCGAUGGUAGAGUAGUGGUCUACCAUGGUUUCAACGGGUAACGGGGAAUUAGGGUUCUAUUCCGGAGAGGGAGCCUGAGAAACGGCUACCACAUCCAAGGAAGGCAGCAGGCGCGCAAAUUACCCAAUCCCGACACGGGGAGGUAGUGACAAUAAAUACUGAUACAGGGCUCUUUUGGGUCUUGUAAUUGGAAUGAGUACAAUUUAAAUCCCUUAACGAGGAACAAUUGGAGGGCAAGUCUGGUGCCAGCAGCCGCGGUAAUUCCAGCUCCAAUAGCGUAUAUUAAAGUUGUUGCAGUUAAAAAGCUCGUAGUUGAACCUUGGGCCUGGCUGGCCGGUCCGCCUCACCGCGUGCACUGGUCCGGCCGGGCCUUUCCUUCUGGGGAGCCGCAUGCCCUUCACUGGGUGUGUCGGGGAACCAGGACUUUUACUUUGAAAAAAUUAGAGUGUUCAAAGCAGGCCUAUGCUCGAAUACAUUAGCAUGGAAUAAUAGAAUAGGACGUGUGGUUCUAAUUGGGUUCUAGGACCGCGUAAUGAUUAUAGGGAUAGUCGGGGGGCAUCAGUAUUCAAUUGUCAGAGGUGAACUUCUUGGUUUAUUGAGGACUAUACUGGAAGCUUUGCCAAGGAAUGUUCCAUUAUCAGGUGAACCGAAAGUA